UAUUAAAAAUUUCAUCAAUUUUUAUUGUUAAAAAUUGACGUAGCUACUGAAAUGACCAGACAGUUACAUAUAGAGUACCACGUGUACCUCAUAUUAACGUAUAGAGAGCAAUUUUUAAUAGUAAAAAUAGAUUUUCUUUAACA
rfam:Gossypium hirsutum cultivar TM-1 chromosome 25, whole genome shotgun sequence